UACGAAGGGGGCUAGCGUUGCUCGGAAUGACUGGGCGUAAAGGGCGCGUAGGCGGUUUGUACAGUCAGAUGUGAAAUUCCUGGGCUUAACCUGGGGGCUGCAUUUGAUACGUGCAGACUUGAGUGAGGAAGAGGGUUGUGGAAUUCCCAGUGUAGAGGUGAAAUUCGUAGAUAUUGGGAAGAACACCGGUGGCGAAGGCGGCAACCUGGUCCUUGACUGACGCUGAGGCGCGACAGCGUGUGGAGCAAACAGG
rnacentral:rRNA from 1 species